AGCGAGGAGUUGUCUUAACACGGGUUGCUAACCUGUUGUUAGAGAGAGUACGAGCUUUCCCUUGUUG
rnacentral:tRNA from 1 species